rnacentral:rRNA from 1 species
AUUGAACGCUGGCGGCAGGCCUGACACAUGCAAGUCGAGCGAGCGGCGGACGGGUGAGUAAUGUAUGGGGACUGCCCGAUAGAGGGGGAUAACUACUGGAAACGGUGGCUAAUCCCGAAUACUGUCGGAUAACCCAUAUGGGGUUUGCUAGUAGGUAAGGUAAUGGCUUACCUAGGCGACGAUCCCUAGCUGGUCUGAGAGGAUGAUCAGCCACACUGUGACUGAGACACGGCCCAGACUCCUACGGAGGCAGCAGUGGGGAAUAUUGCACAAUGGGCGCAAGCCUGAUGCAGCCAUGCCGCGUGUAUGAAGAAGGCCCUAGGGUUGUAAAGUACUUUCAGUCGGGAGGCGUUACCGACAGAAGAAGCACCGGCUAACUCCGUGCCAGCCGCCGCGGUAAUAC